rnacentral:rRNA from 1 species
AGCGAACGCUGGCGGCAGGCCUAAUACAUGCAAGUCGAGCGGUCCCUUCGGGGGCAGCGGCGGACGGGUGAGUAACGCGUGGGAACGUGCCCUUUGGUACGGAACAACUGAGGGAAACUUCAGCUAAUACCGUAUGUGCCCUUCGGGGAAAGAUUUAUCGCCAUUGGAGCGGCCCGCGUUGGAUUAGCUAGUUGGUGGGGUAAAGGCCCACCAAGGCUACGAUCCAUAGCUGGUCUGAGAGGAUGACCAGCCACACUGGGACUGAGACACGGCCCAGACUCCUACGGGAGGCAGCAGUAGGGAAUCUUGCGCAAUGGGCGAAAGCCUGACGCAGCCAUGCCGCGUGAAUGAUGAAGGUCUUAGGAUUGUAAAAUUCUUUCACCGGGGACGAUAAUGACGGUACCCGGAGAAGAAGCCCCGGCUAACUUCGUG